rnacentral:rRNA from 1 species
CAAUAGCGUAUAUUAAAGUUGUUGCAGUUAAAAAGCUCGUAGUUGGAUUUCUGGUGGGAGCGAUCGGUCUGGCGCUUAGCGCGAGUACUUGCAUCGUCUCCGGCCAUCCUUGGGGAAAGUCUGUCUGGCAUUAAGUUGUCGGGCAGAGGAUCCUCAUCGUUUACUGUGAAAAAAUUAGAGUGUUCAAAGCAGGCUUAUGCCGUUGAAUAUAUUAGCAUGGAAUAAUAAGAUAGGACUUUGGUACUAUUUUGUUGGUUUGCGCACCAAAGUAAUGAUUAAUAGGGACAGUUUGGGGUAUUCGUAUUCCGUUGUCAGAGGUGAAAUUCUUGGAUUUACGGAAGACGAACUACUGCGAAAGCAUUUACCAAGGAUGUUUUCAUUAA